CUCUCAAAGGCUAACAUACCUCUCUUGAAAUAUCUUCUUGGACUGAAGUCGCUUGAGUCAUCAACUCCUAUUGUAAUUUUUCCAAUGGAAGACAUAGGACCUUUUCCAGGAUUGUUCCAUCAAUCCCGAUAAUUUACCCUUACAUCACAUUCGAUCCAUCCUCCGGGUCGUAGUUCGUGAUAUAUUCGUCCAUUCAUGACACAUUAAUUGAUGGUAAGCGAACUGAUAGGUACAAAAAUUGAAACAACUGCGCAUUUUGAAAGUCUUUUAUUCUUUUUGGCGACCAGCAGAUAUCCAACUUCAUCAGCUCCAUAUUGGUAACGAUUAUCAUAGAAGGUGGUUUUGAUGCGCGUCUAGCUCUCACAUUUCGGCCACUAUCCUCUUUGUCUAUAGUUCGCUUUGUACUUUCAAUUGCCAUGAUGCUCCCCCUCUCAAACUCUUAACAGGAACUACUAUGCUCGAAAACUUAAAAAAUACAAAAACUAGCAAUCUCAGAAAACAACCAAGAAUGACAACACAAAAUGACCUCUAACUAGUGCCCCACUCCUAUUCUCUUACUACCAGUGAUCAUGACAAUAUAUUAUCCAUACUGUCCAUUUC
rnacentral:lncRNA from 1 species